rnacentral:rRNA from 1 species
UGCUCCCUGAUGUCAGCGGCGGACGGGUGAGUAACACGUGGGUAACCUGCCUGUAAGACUGGGAUAACUCCGGGAAACCGGGGCUAAUACCGGAUGCUUGAUUGAACCGCAUGGUUCAAUUAUAAAAGGUGGCUUUUAGCUACCACUUACAGAUGGACCCGCGGCGCAUUAGCUAGUUGGUGAGGUAACGGCUCACCAAGGCGACGAUGCGUAGCCGACCUGAGAGGGUGAUCGGCCACACUGGGACUGAGACACGGCCCAGACUCCUACGGGAGGCAGCAGUAGGGAAUCUUCCGCAAUGGACGAAAGUCUGACGGAGCAACGCCGCGUGAGUGAUGAAGGUUUUCGGAUCGUAAAACUCUGUUGUUAGGGAAGAACAAGUACCGUUCGAAUAGGGCGGUACCUUGACGGUACCUAACCAGAAAGCCACGGCUAACUACGUGCCAGCAGCCGCGGUAAUACGUAGGUGGCAAGCGUUGUCCGGAAUUAUUGGGCGUAAAGCGCGCGCAGGCGGUUUCUUAAGUCUGAUGUGAAAGCCCCCGGCUCAACCGGGGAGGGUCAUUGGAAACUGGGGAACUUGAGUGCAGAAGAGGAGAGUGGAAUUCCACGUGUAGCGGUGAAAUGCGUAGAGAUGUGGAGGAACACCAGUGGCGAAGGCGACUCUCUGGUCUGUAACUGACGCUGAGGCGCGAAAGCGUGGGGAGCGAACAGGAUUAGAUACCCUGGUAGUCCACGCCGUAAACGAUGAGUGCUAAGUGUUAGAGGGUUUCCGCCCUUUAGUGCUGCAGCAAACGCAUUAAGCACUCCGCCUGGGGAGUACGGUCGCAAGACUGAAACUCAAAGGAAUUGACGGGGGCCCGCACAAGCGGUGGAGCAUGUGGUUUAAUUCGAAGCAACGCGAAGAACCUUACCAGGUCUUGACUUCCUCUGACAACCCUAGAGAUAGGGCUUCCCCUUCGGGGGCAGAG